UUGAAAUCCGCAGCACUCUGAGGCAAAUCUAACUUCGAAGCGACAGGAACUGGAAUCUUGCGUAGUUAGUUAAUGUAUUAUCAAGAUGGCAAGUGAUCCAUAGGACAAAAUACCUGUACUGUAUAAUGUUGGCUAAUAAAAUUCAAUAAUAGCGGUAACUGAUGGAAGUGAAUACAACGACAAUAACGUUUAGGCGACUAAAAGUUAUUUCGAAUCAUUCCUAAAUCAAGGCCUCAUCUGAAAUAUUCACUUAGUCCAGAUUCAAUCGUAAGAUUGAGUUUGGUGAAGACUCGUGUCAACUAGGAUUUCUGACGUGGACUAUUUUAUCAAGAUUGGAUAAGACAGCAUUUCACAUUUAUUCAUCGAGACAACAAACUUACUUAUGCGUUCCAAUAUAUAUAUAAGAAAGAGCCCGUGUAUACUCGGCUAACCAACAAGCCGAAUAAUAAUCCUGGAAUAAAUAAAAUCGAACAGUCAAUAACUGAAUGUGGCUGUACGAUCAAAUUGGAAAGAUCCAAAUACAAGUUAUACAAUUGAGAUCCAAAUCACAAAUAGAACGAAGAAAACAUCAAUAAGUUAUAACACUAUUUUCUCAACUUUCGUCUGAGAGCUGAAGGGUCGGUACACAGAAGUACUGCAUGAAGACAAAAGGCUUGUCGCGAUAAAUCACCAUUAGGGGAAAAAAGCGAGAAUAACCAAGUUCCAUGGAAUUAAAAAUGAUAAUAACACAAAGGGGUAACAUUAAACUUCAAAGUAAACAUUUCACAUUCGCUACACCUAGAAGGUAUUCUCGAUCAUAGGUCUGAUAAAUCCAGAGCUUAUAUCCUUUUUAUACAUAAUCGUAUUCAUAAAUAAUGUGAAUCACAAUUUUUUACUCCUAAAUGAAGAAAUCAAACUCAUAUGCUUUUAUUCUCUCUAUCGCAAAUAUGAACAUAAAACAAAAGAUAUUUUUUCCUUUAAUUCUAAUUUGAGAAUUCGAUUUUUUUU